rnacentral:rRNA from 1 species
GACGAACGCUGGCGGCGUGCCUAACACAUGCAAGUCGAGCGAUGAAAUCCCUUCGGGAUGGAUUAGCGGCGGACGGGUGAGUAACACGUGGGUAACCUGCCUCAAAGAGGGGGAUAGCCUCCCGAAAGGGAGAUUAAUACCGCAUAACAUUAGUUUUUUGCAUGGAGAACUAAUUAAAGGAGUAAUCCGCUUUGAGAUGGACCCGCGGCGCAUUAGCUAGUUGGUGAGGUAAAGGCUCACCAAGGCGACGAUGCGUAGCCGACCUGAGAGGGUGAUCGGCCACAUUGGAACUGAGACACGGUCCAGACUCCUACGGGAGGCAGCAGAGGGGAAUAUUGCACAAUGGGCGAAAGCCUGAUGCAGCAACGCCGCGUGAGUGAUGAAGGCCUCCGGGUUGUAAAGCUCUGUCUUUGGGGACGAUAAUGACGGUACCCAAGGAGGAAGCCACGGCUAACUACGUGCCAGCCGCCGCAGUAA